GACGAACCGUGCAAACGUUGUUCGGAAUCACUGGGCUUAAAGGGCGCGUAGGCGGACUCGCCAGUCUGUGGUGAAAGCCCCCGGCUCAACCGGGGAAGUGCCGUGGAUACUGCGAGUCUGGAGGAGGGUAGGGGCAUCUGGAACGCUGGGUGGAGCGGUGAAAUGCGUUGAUAUCCAGCGGAACUCCAGUGGCGAAGGCGAGGUGCUGGACCGUUUCUGACGCUGAUGCGCGAAAGCCAGGGGAGCAAACGGG
rnacentral:rRNA from 1 species